UACGGGGGGGGGCAAGCGUUGUUCGGAAUUACUGGGCGUAAAGGGCUCGUAGGCGGCCAACUAAGUCGGAUGUGAAAUCCCCAGGCUUAACCUGGGAACUGCAUCCGAUACUGGUUGGCUUGAAUCCGGGAGAGGGAUGCGGAAUUCCAGGUGUAGCGGUGAAAUGCGUAGAUAUCUGGAGGAACACCGGUGGCGAAGGCGGCAUCCUGGACCGGCAUUGACGCUGAGUGAGCGAAAGCCAGGGGAGCAAACGGG
rnacentral:rRNA from 1 species